AUGCUUCUCUCCAGUCUUCUGAAGGUAGUCGUGGCUUCAGUGUGGCUAGGAUCUAGUGUUGCCCAGAAGGUAACUCAAGACCAACCAGCAAGGUUUGCGCAGGAGAAGGAGGCUGUGACCCUGGACUGCACAUAUGACACAAGUGAUCCAAGUUAUAGUCUCUUCUGGUACAAGCAGCCCAGCAGUGGGGCAAUGAUUUUUCUCAUUCGUCAGGACUCUUAUAACCAGCAAAAGGCCACCGACGGUCGAUAUACUUUGAAUUUCCAGAAGGCAAACAACUCCAUCCAACUUGUCAUCUCAGCUUCACAGCUGGAGGACUCUGCAGUGUAUUUCUGUGCCCUGAGGGAGCCCACAGUGAGGGGCGUGUUAGAGGGAGGUGUUCGAAAACCCAGGGCUCUGCUAGAUACAUCCACCUGCUGGGUGAGUGGCAAAAACCAAGUGGAACAGAGUCCUCCAUCCCUGAUCGUCCUGGAGGGAGAGAACUGCACAUUUCAAUGCAAUUAUGCAGUGAGCCCCUUUGAGGGGAGGGCAGCGGACAAACUGCUGCCCCCAAGACUGCAGACAGGGACAGUGAGACCAGAGAGCUGCAGUUUACCAGAGCAGAGACUCCGGGCAGAAACGGCAGCGGGAACCAGUGCUGAGGAAGCAAAAUCUGAACUGAUGUUGGUGAGUUGCUGGAGGCUCCGCGUGGACAAGUCUGAGAGCUAA